UACAGAGGGGGCGAGCGUUGUUCGGAAUUACUGGGCGUAAAGGGCGCGUAGGCGGCCAACUAAGUCAGACGUGAAAUCCCUCGGCUCAACCGGGGAACUGCAUCUGAUACUGGAUGGCUUGAGAUUGGGAGAGGGAUGCGGAAUUCCAGGUGUAGCGGUGAAAUGCGUAGAUAUCUGGAGGAACACCGGUGGCGAAGGCGGCAUCCUGGACCAACACUGACGCUGAGGAGCGAAAGCCAGGGGAGCAAACGGG
rnacentral:rRNA from 1 species